rfam:Asian citrus Psyllid, Diaphorina citri - Florida Strain, whole genome shotgun sequence.
ACUUUGGUAGCGCGUCUGCCUUGUAAGCGCUAGGCCGCGGGUUCGAUUCCCGCCCGGGGCG